UAUAUGUGUGUGUGUGUGUGUGUGUGUGUGUGUAUACACAUAUAUAUAUAUACACACACAUAUACAUACACACAUACACACCACAGAUA